rnacentral:lncRNA from 11 species
CUGGAGAAUGCUUGUUAGAUGGAGAUAGGUGAAUGUCAGAGGUAUGUGAGCACAAGCAUGCAGAAGAAGAAUUUGCUGAAACCAUAGUUGAUGGAUGCACUGCUUAAUAUCAACUUUUAUUAUGUCCUACUUUGAGUAAAAACGUUUCACCAGAAACGAUCCCGCAACAAUUCCU